GGUAUUGCACUUACCGAAGACUAUCAAACUCCGAAUGCCGUAUUCUUUUGCUUGGGAGUCAGACUAUGGGUGAUAAGAUUCAUAGUCAAGAGGGCAACAGCCCAGAUCGUCAGCUAAGGUCCCUAAAUGUAAGUUAAGUGGUAAAGGAUGUGGAAUUGCACAGACAACCAGGAUGUUGGCUUAGAAGCAGCCACUCAUUUAAAGAGUGCGUAAUAGCUCACUGGUCGAGUGAUUCUGCGCCGAAAAUUUCCGGGGCUAAAACUUACUACCGAAGCUACGGCAUCAUUAUGAUGGGUAGGGGAGCUUUCUAUGCGGCUUGAAGCAUGACCGUAAGGACAUGUGGACUGCAUAGAAGUGAGAAUGUUGGCAUGAGUAGCGAGAUGUGGGUGAGAAUCCCACAGGCCGUAAACCCAAGGUUUCCAGGGGAAGGUUCGUCCGCCCUGGGUUAGUCAGGACCUAAGCCGAGGCCGAAAGGCGUAGGUGAUGGACAACAGGUUGAUAUUCCUGUACCACCAAUAACCGUUUGAGAAAUGGGAUGACACAGUAGGAUAAGCUAACCGCACUGUUGGUUAUGUGCGGGCAAGUAUUGAGGCAGUUCCGAUAGGCAAAUCCGUCGGAAUAAUGCUGGGGUACGAUGCGGAGCGAAAUUUAGUAGCGAAGUAGCUGAUUUCACACUGUCGAGAAAAGUCUCUAUCGAGGUUAAAGGUGCCUGUACCGCAAACCGACACAGGUGGGUGAGGAGAGUAUCCUAAGGCCAGCGAGAGAACUGUUGUUAAGGAACUCGGCAAAAUGACCCCGUAACUUAGGGAGAAGGGGUGCCUUCGAAAGAAGGCCGCAGAGAAUAGGCCCAAGCGACUGUUUACCAAAAACAUAGGUUUCUGCUAAGUCGCAAGACGAUGUAUAGGAGCUGACGCCUGCCCGGUGCUGGAAGGUUAAGGGGAUCUGUUAGAGCAAUCGAAGCAGUGAACUUAAGCCCCAGUAAACGGCGGCCGUAACUAUAACGGUCCUAAGGUAGCGAAAUUCCUUGUCGGGUAAGUUCCGACCCGCACGAAAGGCGUAACGAUUUGGGCACUGUCUCAACAACAGACUCGGUGAAAUUGUAAUACCGGUGAAGAUGCCGGUUACCUGCGACAGGACGGAAAGACCCCAUGGAGCUUUACUGUAGCUUGACAUUGAGUCUCGGUGCUACAUGUACAGGAUAGGUGGGAGACUAUGAAGCAUGGACGUCAGUCUGUGUGGAGUCAUCCUUGGGAUACCACCCUUGUAGUACUGGGAUUCUAACCAGAGGCCAUGAAUCUGGUCUUGGGACACUGUCAGGUGGACAGUUUGACUGGGGCGGUCGCCUCCCAAAAAGUAACGGAGGCGCUCAAAGGUUCUCUCAGUACGGUCGGAAAUCGUACGAAGAGUGUAAAGGCAAAAGAGAGCUUGAUUGCAAGACAUACAGGUCGAGCAAGGACGAAAGUCGGACUUAGUGAUCCGGUGGUUCCGCAUGGAAGGGCCAUCGCUCAACGGAUAAAAGCUACCCUGGGGAUAACAGGCUGAUCUCCCCCAAGAGUCCACAUCGACGGGGAGGUUUGGCACCUCGAUGUCGGCUCAUCACAUCCUGGGGCUGUAGUAGGUCCCAAGGGUUGGGCUGUUCGCCCAUUAAAGUGGUACGCGAGCUGGGUUCAGAACGUCGUGAGACAGUUCGGUCCCUAUCCGUCGCAGGCGUAGGAAAUUUGAGGAGACCUGUCCUUAGUACGAGAGGACCGGGAUGGACGUACCGCUGGUGUACCAGUUGUUCUGCCAAGGGCAUGGCUGGGUAGCUAAGUACGGAAAGGAUAAGCGCUGAAAGCAUCUAAGCGCGAAGCCCACUUCAAGAUAAGAUUUCCCACCGCAAGGUUAAGAUCCCAGGAAGACUACCUGGUUGAUAGGUCAGAGGUGUAAGUGCAGUAAUGUAUUUAGCUUACUGAUACUAAUAGAUCGAGGACUUGACCAA
rnacentral:rRNA from 1 species